CUGCUGGCACGUAGUUAGCCGUGGCUUCCUCGUCAGGUACCGUCAUUCAGAACCCAUAUUUUGAGUCCUGACAUUCGUCCCCGACAACAGAGCUUUACGAGUCGAAACCCUUCUUCACUCACGCGGCGUUGCUCCGUCAGGCUUGCGCCCAUUGCG
rnacentral:rRNA from 1 species